rnacentral:rRNA from 1 species
GUGCCAGCAGCCGCGGUAAUACGUAGGGCGCAAGCGUUGUCCGGAAUUAUUGGGCGUAAAGAGCUCGUAGGCGGCUUGUCGCGUCGAUUGUGAAAGCCCGGGGCUUAACUCCGGGUCUGCAGUCGAUACGGGCAGGCUAGAGUGUGGUAGGGGAGAUCGGAAUUCCUGGUGUAGCGGUGAAAUGCGCAGAUAUCAGAAGGAACACCGGCGGCGAAGGCGGAUCUCUGGGCCAUUACUGACGCUGAGGAGCGAAAGCGUGGGGAGCGAACAGGAUUAGAUACCCCGGUAGUCC